ensembl:lncRNA
AUGUUUUUUUUUUUUACUUUUAUUGAUUUUAAUUCUUUGUAUUUGGGCUUUCGUUAUAGGCAGGAGGAUUAUGUUUCUGAAGACCUCUUGGAGCUGUCACAGAUUCAGCGGCACUUAAAGGUGAUACCCGUGUUCUGCGGCUGUGCUGCCGUGCUGACGGAUAGGGAAGAGGAACAGAGAUGACCUGUCUGCAGAGAUGAUACAGCAGAACAGCAGAACUACUUUCAUACGAUCAAUACAGGUAAAUAGCAAAAAAAUGUAAAAUCAGUAUAAUAUUAGCUGUUUAUCUUAAGUUAACUAAGUUCUUUCGACAAGUUGCACAAAUGAUCCACACUGUUAAAAUACGAUGUUAGACUCGUUCUUAAUAUCAGACCUGUUUGUUCAAGCUUGUUAAAUUUAAAUGUCUUCUUUAGAUAUAAUACUCACCCUUUGUCAUUUUAUUUUAUUCACAUGAUCAUUAUGUAUUAUCCAGAUGAAUAUGUCAAGAAGUCAUUGAGCCUCAAGUUAGAUAAAUUAGUAUUUUGUCUGUAUUCCAAGUCCUUUUAUUAUUAUUUAAAGGCUCAUCCAUAUGCUGCAUAAUUACAGCCUUUUUUAAAAUAAACUCAUCACUGCAGUAAAUGCA